CAAUAGCGUAUAUUAAAGUUGUUGCAGUUGAAAAGCUCGUAGUUGGAUUUCUGGUAGGAGUGACCGUUCCGAACUUGAUUGUUCGUGUAUUGUGUUUUCUCCAGCCAUCCUUGUGGAGAACUUUUCUUGCAUUAAUUUGUAGGGAUUGGGACCCGCAUCGUUUACUGUGAAAAAAUUAGAGUGUUUAAAGCAGGCAAUCGCUUGAAUACAUUAGCAUGGAAUAAUAAGAUAGGACUUUGGUACUAUUUUGUUGGUUUGCACACCAAAUUAAUGAUCAACAGGAGCAGUUUGAGGAUAUUCGUAUGAACAUGUCAGAGGUGGAAUUCUUGGAUUUUGAUCAGACGAACUACUGCGAAAGCAUUUAUCAAGGAUGUUUUCAUUAA
rnacentral:rRNA from 1 species